AUUGAAUGCUGGCGGCAGGCCUAACACAUGCAAGUCGAGCGGAUGAGAGGAGCUUGCUCCUCGAUUCAGCGGCGGACGGGUGAGUAAUGCCUAGGAAUCUGCCUAGUAGUGGGGGACGACGUUUCGAAAGGAGCGCUAAUACCGCAUACGUCCUACGGGAGAAAGUGGGGGAUCUUCGGACCUCACGCUAUUAGAUGAGCCUAGGUCGGAUUAGCUAGUUGGUAGGGUAACGGCCUACCAAGGCGACGAUCCGUAACUGGUCUGAGAGGAUGAUUAGUCACACUGGAACUGAGACACGGUCCAGACUCCUACGGGAGGCAGCAGUGGGGAAUAUUGGACAAUGGGCGAAAGCCUGAUCCAGCCAUGCCGCGUGUGUGAAGAAGGCCCUCGGGUCGUAAAGCACUUUAAGUUGGGAGGAAGGGCUUACAGCGAAUACCUGUGAGUUUUGACGUUACCGACAGAAUAAGCACCGGCUAACUUCGUGCCAGCAGCCGCAGUAA
rnacentral:rRNA from 1 species